CCAUAGCUACAACUUGUUAUACUGAUCAUUGUCAUCAUGUUCAGUAUGGUCUUAUGCUUGUGUUUUCUUCUUUUCUUCUGCAGAGUCGGUAUUAUAGGUCUCCCAAAGUUCUUCUUGGGUAUCAAUAUAUGACAGAUAUAGACAUGUGGUCCUUUGGCUGCAUAGUUGCCGAACUCUUUUUAGGGCUGCCGUUAUUCCCAGGUGCUUCAGAAUUUGAUCUUCUAAGGCGAAUGAUUGGAAUACUUGGAGGGAGCUAAAGAAACCGUUGAUUGGAAAAGAGUAUUUCAGUCAUAAGAACCUGGAAGCAAUUGUUACAAACUAUCCUUACAGAAAGAACUUGCCUAAAGAAGAUAUCAUUAAAG